AACGAACGCUGGCGGCAGGCUUAACACAUGCAAGUCGAACGGUUGUAGCAAUACAGCAGUGGCAGACGGGUGAGUAACACGUGGGAACCUUCCUAGGGGUACGGAACAACUCAGGGAAACUUGAGCUAAUACCGUAUACGUCCGUGAGGAGAAAGAUUUAUCGCCCUUAGACGGGCCCGCGUAGGAUUAGGUAGUUGGUGGGGUAAUGGCCUACCAAGCCUACGAUCCUUAGCUGAUCUGAGAGGAUGAUCAGCCACACUGGGACUGAGACACGGCCCAGACUCCUACGGGAGGCAGCAGUGGGGAAUCUUGGACAAUGGGCGCAAGCCUGAUCCAGCCAUGCCGCGUGAGUGGAGAAGGCC
rnacentral:rRNA from 1 species